GGGGACGUGGCGGAAUUGGCAGACGCGCAUGACUUAGGAUUAUGUACCUACGGGUGUGAGGGUUCGAGUCCCUCCGUCCCCACCU
rnacentral:tRNA from 1 species